GAUGAACGCUGGCGGCGUGCCUAAUACAUGCAAGUCGAGCGAACAGAUAAGGAGCUUGCUCCUUUGACGUUAGCGGCGGACGGGUGAGUAACACGUGGAUAACCUACCUAUAAGACUGGGAUAACUUCGGGAAACCGGAGCUAAUACCGGAUAACAUAUUGAACCGCAUGGUUCAAUAGUGAAAGGCGGCUUUGCUGUCACUUAUCGAUGGAUCCGCGCCGUAUUAGCUAGUUGGUAAGGUAACGGCUUACCAAGGCAACGAUACGUAGCCGACCUGAGAGGGUGAUCGGCCACACUGGAACUGAGACACGGUCCAGACUCCUACGGGAGGCAGCAGUAGGGAAUCUUCCGCAAUGGGCGAAAGCCUGACGGAGCAACGCCGCGUGAGUGAUGAAGGUCUUCGGAUCGUAAAACUCUGUUAUCAGGGAAGAACAAAUGUGUAAGUAACUGUGCACAUCUUGACGGUACCUGAUCAGAAAGCCACGGCUAACUACGUG
rnacentral:rRNA from 1 species